GUUAUAUAAAAUCUUAUUUAUUAAACAUAUAUAUAAGGUUCGUUUAGGAUUAUUGUUAGCUUUUUUUUCUUUCAACCCAGCCGUUUCCAUCCCCUUCCGUCCAUCUUUCGCAUCUCGCAUCUCUCUUCUCUCUUCUCCAUCUCCCAUCUCCUCUGACCUCUUUCGUCUCCUCUACUUCCACCUCUUCCAUCUCCAACGCCACCUCGGCCGGCGUUCGAGACACUACCCAAUAUUAGUCCUUCCCAACAUCAAUUCAAAAUCCAGCAGGCGUAAGAUCCAUCUCUUCGAUCUCCACCACCACGCAUCUCUCAUAAAACUUCAAUCUUACGAAUUUGAAGAGGAGAUGGGAACAACUCCAGCAGGCGUACGAGAGCAGAGACUGACUACGGAGCGCAGGCGGGAGUAGGAGGAAGUAAGAAAUGAAGAACAAAUGAAAUAUCAACUACUACAAACUAUAUAUCUAGAAGAUGAUGAAGAAGAUUUAAGAGAAUCGACAGGUACACAGAUUGUUGUUAAACGGAUGUGGUGUUCAAAACUCCGGAAGCAAAAAUGACAAAAAACAACAAAUGAAAACAAUCUAAAACGAUUAAUGAAAGAGAAACAUCGUAUGAUGUACCACUAAACUUUUCGUCGGAGUCUGAUGAGGACAAUGUACCAAUAACCAAAAAGAGAUUGUUCGAACGUGUGUUGAAGGAGAAAGGGAAGGAAAGUCAAACUAAAAAUGUACAUAUAUAUAUAAAAUGUAGAUAUGUAAGAAACUAUCGUUACAUUAUUA